CUUGCAGGAGGGAGCUAUCCUACUUUGGACUGAAGGUUGUUUUAAUUGAACCUGGUGUCUUCAAGACUGUUGUGAGCAGUUCUAAUAUGCUCUCCAAAACCUCCAAGGAUGCGUGGGAGAGGGCCAGACCAGAGAUCAAGCAGAUCUAUGGCGAGAAGUUUCCAGCAUCCUGUGAGUGAGCUGUGGGCAGUGUGGAGAGAAGGAAACUCUCGUCAGAAAUCCCACCUCCAUCACUAAUGGGUCCCUCAGAGGUCUAUCCUCCUGACAGGGCUUCAGAGAAGUUCAGCCUCUUGCAGAAAGUGGGGACCUGUAGCCCCAUUUCCAUGAUGGGUGCUCUGUAGACAAUCGCUCACAUGAAGCAAGUGUCCAGGCUUAUGGAAAUUGGGGCCGGUAUGUACUUGAACCCCUCAGUAUUUGAAGAGUGAAGGAAAGCAAGAGAGAGAAGAGGCAUCCGUGCCAGCUGGCAUUUCAUGUGAGACAUUAGAGACAGCUGGCUCCAGGUGCUCAGAUUUCUAGUAUUGGCGGACACCUGCCAUUGUGCAGUCCAGAUUUCCCAGGAAAACAGGCAGAGGUGUGUUAGUGUGGAACAAUUCCGCAUGGGGUUAGCAUGGGACCGUCUUCUGGAUUUUGCAUGGAUAAUAUCGGCCAAUGCUGGGUGCCAUGAGAUUUUACAAACUUUACAUUCUGAAGUUAAACCGAAAGCAAAAUCAAUUGCAGGUGGAGAUAUUCAUGGGUGUUUUCUCAUUGUGUCCAGACAUGAAAUCAAUAGAACCAAUCGAAGGAAGAUUAACACAGGAUCUGUCUUUGGUGAUGGACUGCAUGGAGCAUGCGCUGACAGCCUGCCACCCCCGUACCUGCUACUCAGCUGGCUGGGAUGCGAAAGCUCCUCUACCUCCCCAUGAGCUACGUUCCCACCUUCCUGGUGGACGCCAUCAUCACAUGGGGCCCCUCAAGGCCACCCAAAGCCCUGUGAGCCAAGACUCUGUGCAUGGUUGCAGGACAUUGACUGCUGUGGGAGGUAGAGGUACAUCAGUUACACAAGUGUUUCGCUCGGUUCUUCUUUUUCUGUUUAUUAGCGGUGUUCUUCGACGA
rnacentral:lncRNA from 1 species